rnacentral:rRNA from 1 species
GAUGAACGCUGGCGGCGUGCCUAAUACAUGCAAGUCGAGCGAACAGAUAAGGAGCUUGCUCCUUUGACGUUAGCGGCGGACGGGUGAGUAACACGUGGGUAACCUACCUAUAAGACUGGAAUAACUCCGGGAAACCGGGGCUAAUGCCGGAUAACAUUUAGAACCGCAUGGUUCUAAAGUGAAAGAUGGUUUUGCUAUCACUUAUAGAUGGACCCGCGCCGUAUUAGCUAGUUGGUAAGGUAACGGCUUACCAAGGCAACGAUACGUAGCCGACCUGAGAGGGUGAUCGACCACACUGGAACUGAGACACGGUCCAGACUCCUACGGGAGGCAGCAGUAGGGAAUCUUCCGCAAUGGGCGAAAGCCUGACGGAGCAACGCCGCGUGAGUGAUGAAGGUCUUCGGAUCGUAAAACUCUGUUAUUAGGGAAGAACAAAUGUGUAAGUAACUGUGCACGUCUUGACGGUACCUAAUCAGAAAGCCACGGCUAACUACGUG